CGAGCGCACCCUUGUCCUCAGUUACCAGCACGUCAUGGUGGGCACUCUGGGGAGACUGCCGGUGACAAACCGGAGGAAGGUGGGGACGACGUCAAGUCAUCAUGGCCCUUACGGCCAGGGCUACACACGUGCUACAAUGGUGCAUACAGACGGUUGCCAAGCCGCAAGGUGGAGCUAAUCUGAGAAAGUGCAUCGUAGUCCGGAUUGGGGUCUGCAACUCGACCCCAUGAAGUCGGAAUCGCUAGUAAUCGUGAAUCAGAAUGUCACGGUGAAUACGUUCCCGGGCCUU
rnacentral:rRNA from 1 species